rnacentral:rRNA from 1 species
AGAAUCAACGCUGGCGGCGUGCCUAACACAUGCAAGUCGAACGAGAAAGUGGAGCAAUCCAUGAGUAAAGUGGCGCACGGGUGAGUAACACGUGACUAACCUACCCUUGAGUGGGGGAUAACCUAGGGAAACCUGGGCUAAUACCGCAUAAUACCUUCGGGUCAAAGGAGCAAUUCGCUUAAGGAGGGGGUCGCGGCCGAUUAGUUAGUUGGCGGGGUAAUGGCCCACCAAGACUAUGAUCGGUAUCCGGCCUGAGAGGGCGCACGGACACACUGGAACUGAAACACGGUCCAGACUCCUACGGGAGGCAGCAGUGGGGAAUUUUGCGCAAUGGGGGAACCCUGACGCAGCAACGCCGCGUGGAGGAUGAAGUCCCUUGGGACGUAAACUCCUUUCGAUCGGGACGAUUAUGACGGUACCGAGAGAAGAAGCCCGGCUAACUUCGUGCCAGCAGCCGC